UUGAACGCUGGCGGCAUGCUUUACACAUGCAAGUCGAGCGGCAGCGCGGGGGCCACCCUGGCGGCGAGCGGCGAACGGGUGAGUAAUGUAUCGGAACGUACCCUGUCGUGGGGGAUAACACAGCGAAAGCUGUGCUAAUACCGCAUACGCCCUGAGGGUGAAAGCGGGGGAUCUCAAGACCUCGCGCGAUAGGAGCGGCCGAUGUCGGAUUAGCUUGUUGGUGAGGUAAAGGCUCACCAAGGCGACGAUCCGUAGCUGGUCUGAGAGGACGAUCAGCCACACUGGAACUGAGACACGGCCCAGACUCCUACGGGAGGCAGCAGUGGGGAAUUUUGGACAAUGGGGGCAAGCCUGAUCCAGCCAUGCCGCGUGAGUGAAGAAGGCCUUCGGGUUGUAAAGCUCUUUCAGCAGGAACGAAACGGUGGCUACUAAUAGUAGCUACUAAUGACGGUACCUGAAGAAGAAGCACCGGCUAACUACGU
rnacentral:rRNA from 1 species